GAUGAACGCUGGCGGCGUGCCUCAAACAUGCAAGUCGAGCGGGGCUAUGUAAUAUCGCAAGGUAGAACAUAGCCUAGCGGCGAACGGGUGAGUAACACGUGGGUAACCUGCCUGGAAGACAGGGAUAACGAUUCGAAAGGGUCGCUAAUACCUGAUAAUAUCCUUUCAUCGCAUGGUGAUAGGAAGAAAGGGGAAACCCGCUUUCAGAUGGGCCCGCGUCCCAUCAGCUAGUUGGUAAGGUAAAGGCUUACCAAGGCGACGACGGGUAGCCGGUCUGAGAGGAUGUACGGCCACACUGGGACUGAGAUACGGCCCAGACUCCUACGGGAGGCAGCAGUUGGGAAUCUUAGGCAAUGGACGAAAGUCUGACCUAGCGACGCCGCGUGAGGGAAGAAGGCCUUCGGGUUGUAAACCUCUGUCAUGGGGAAGAAGUAAGUGACGGUACCCAAGAAGGAAGCCCCUGCUAACUACGUGCCAGCAGCCGCGGUAAAGAGUAGUACAA
rnacentral:rRNA from 1 species